AGUGAACGCUGGCGGUAGGCCUAACACAUGCAAGUCGAACGGCAGCACAGUAAGAGCUUGCUCUUACGGGUGGCGAGUGGCGGACGGGUGAGGAAUACAUCGGAAUCUACUUUUUCGUGGGGGAUAACGUAGGGAAACUUACGCUAAUACCGCAUACGACCUACGGGUGAAAGCAGGGGAUCUUCGGACCUUGCGCGAUUGAAUGAGCCGAUGUCGGAUUAGCUAGUUGGCGGGGUAAAGGCCCACCAAGGCGACGAUCCGCAGCUGGUCUGAGAGGAUGAUCAGCCACACUGGAACUGAGACACGGUCCAGACUCCUACGGGAGGCAGCAGUGGGGAAUAUUGGACAAUGGGCGCAAGCCUGAUCCAGCCAUACCGCGUGGGUGAAGAAGGCCUUCGGGUUGUGUAGCCCUUUUGUUGGGAAAGAAAAGCAGCAGGUUAAUACCCCGCUGUUCUGACGGUACCCAAAGAAUAAGCACCGGCUAACUUCGUG
rnacentral:rRNA from 1 species